rnacentral:rRNA from 1 species
UACGGGGGGGGCAAGCGUUGUUCGGAAUUACUGGGCGUAAAGGGCUCGUAGGCGGCCAACUAAGUCAUACGUGAAAUCCCCCGGCUUAACCGGGGAACUGCGUCUGAUACUGGAUGGCUUGAGUUCGGGAGAGGGAUGCGGAAUUCCAGGUGUAGCGGUGAAAUGCGUAGAUAUCUGGAGGAACACCGGUGGCGAAGGCGGCAUCCUGGACCGAUACUGACGUGAGGAGCGAAAGC